rnacentral:lncRNA from 1 species
GGAAACGCAGGAAGGACUGUCAAAAAUCAAAAGGGAUUAGUGCUUAUAACUUCUCAAGGAAAUAAGUGAAAGUCUUCAAAGCAGAGUCACAACUCAUAUGAUCUUACCGGAAAGCUGCAGUAUCAUCGGCAAGACAGAUUAAAUCAAUCAACACCAGUAGUUAGAAAUUCGUCAGUCACCAUGAAGAAAUCGCGAGCUUCUUGGAGAUUACGGGCAUCUCACGAUGAAGAACAAGGUGGUGUUACUAUCAGAUGAUGCGAUUUUACAGGAGGUUGAGUUGAAGACUUGAGAAGUUGAAGAACUCUCUGACAGAGGAAUCGGAUAACCGAUUAAAUGCCAUCAAUGGUUUUGAUCGCAUUAAGGAGAAAGCUCGUCUUGUGGAACACAUCCAAGUUUGCAGGUUUUGGCCAGAAUUAAUCUGAAACAGAAUUGAUAUCAUCAUCAGAAAAGAGAAAGACCAUCAAGGGGCUUAAAGCUAACGAUGGAUGUGACUCUGGUUGGAGAAACAAAACUCACCAGAUAAUAUAGGUUCUGUUCAGAGGUCAUCUUCAUCG